UUAACUCAAGUUUGUAUGGAGGUGGAACGUUUGCCUACGUUUGCCGCAAAGGGGGCUGUUACAACUGCAUACAAAUUUGAGUUA
rfam:Bombyx mori DNA, contig: Bm_scaf24_contig16407, strain: p50T/Dazao, build 2, whole genome shotgun sequence.